rnacentral:rRNA from 1 species
AGUAGCAUGCUCAAGACCCGAAGCGGAGUGAUCUAGCCAUGGGCAGGUUGAAGCGGAGGUAAGACUUCGUGGAGGACCGAACCCACCAGGGUUGAAAACCUGGGGGAUGACCUGUGGUUAGGGGUGAAAGGCCAAUCAAACUCCGUGAUAGCUGGUUCUCCCCGAAAUGCAUUUAGGUGCAGCGUCGUGUGUUUCUUGCCGGAGGUAGAGCACUGGAUAGGCGAUGGGCCCUACCGGGUUACUGACCUUAGCCAAACUCCGAAUGCCGGUAAGUGAGAGCGCGGCAGUGAGACUGUGGGGGAUAAGCUCCAUGGUCGAGAGGGAAACAGCCCAGAGCAUCGACUAAGGCCCCUAAGCGUACGCUAAGUGGGAAAGGAUGUGGAGUCGCACAGACAACCAGGAGGUUGGCUUAGAAGCAGCCACCCUUGAAAGAGUGCGUAAUAGCUCACUGGUCUAGUGAUUCCGCGCCGACAAUGUAGCGGGGCUCAAGCGUACCGCCGAAGUCGUGUCAUUGCAGCAUGAGGGCCAACGCCCGCUGUGAUGGGUAGGGGAGCGUCGUCUGCCGGGUGAAGCAGCCGCGGAAGCGAGUUGUGGACGGUUGACGAGUGAGAAUGCAGGCAUGAGUAGCGAUACACACGUGGGAAACGUGUGCGCCGAUUGACUAAGGGUUCCUGGGUCAAGCUGAUCUGCCCAGGGUAAGUCGGGACCUAAGGCGAGGCCGACAGGCGUAGUCGAUGGAUAACCGGUUGAUAUUCCGGUACCCGCUGUGAAGCGUCAAACAUCGAGCAUCGUGAUGCUAAGGCCGUGAAGCCGCCCUGAUCUCUUCGGAGUUGAGGGGAGUGGUGGAGCCGCCGGACCAAGCGGUUAGUAGGUGAGUGAUGGGGUGACGCAGGAAGGUAGUCCAUCCCGGGCGAUGGUAGUCCCGGGGUAAGGGUGUAGGCCGUGCGGUAGGUAAAUCCGUCGCACAUGUGGCUGAGACCUGAUGCCGAGCCGAUUGUGGUGAAGUGGAUGAUCCUAUGCUGUCGAGAAAAGCCUCUAGCGAGUUUCAUGGCGGCCCGUACCCUAAACCGACUCAGGUGGUCAGGUAGAGAAUACCGAGGCGUUCGGGUGAACUAUGGUUAAGGAACUCGGCAAAAUGCCCCCGUAACUUCGGGAGAAGGGGGGCCACGUCUGGUGA